rnacentral:rRNA from 1 species
UGGGGAAUAUUGGACAAUGGGCGAAAGCCUGAUCCAGCCAUGCCGCGUGUGUGAAGAAGGUCUUCGGAUUGUAAAGCACUUUAAGUUGGGAGGAAGGGCAGUAAGCGAAUACCUUGCUGUUUUGACGUUACCGACAGAAUAAGCACCGGCUAACUCUGUGCCAGCAGCCGCGGUAAUACAGAGGGUGCAAGCGUUAAUCGGAAUUACUGGGCGUAAAGCGCGCGUAGGUGGUUCGUUAAGUUGAAUGUGAAAGCCCCGGGCUCAACCUGGGAACUGCAUCCAAAGCUGGCGAGCUAGAGUAGGGCAGAGGGUGGUGGAAUUUCCUGUGUAGCGGUGAAAUGCGUAGAUAUAGGAAGGAACACCAGUGGCGAAGGCGACCACCUGGGCUCAUACUGACACUGAGGUGCGAAAGCGGGGGGAGCAAACAGG